rnacentral:rRNA from 1 species
CAGUCGCCACGGUAAUACGUAGGUGGCAAGCGUUGUCCGGAAUUAUUGGGCGUAAAGCGCGCGCAGGCGGAUAGGUCAGUCUGUCUUAAAAGUUCGGGGCUUAACCCCGUGAUGGGAUGGAAACUGCCAAUCUAGAGUAUCGGAGAGGAAAGUGGAAUUCCUAGUGUAGCGGUGAAAUGCGUAGAUAUUAGGAAGAACACCAGUGGCGAAGGCGACUUUCUGGACGAAAACUGACGCUGAGGCGCGAAAGCCAGGGGAGCGAACGGGAUUAGAUACCCGCGUAGUCCCUGUCUCUUAUACA